rnacentral:rRNA from 1 species
CCUACGGGAGGCAGCAGUGAGGAAUAUUGGUCAAUGGGCGCGAGCCUGAACCAGCCAAGUAGCGUGAAGGAUGACUGCCCUACGGGUUGUAAACUUCUGUUAUAAAGGAAUAAAGUGAGGCACGUGUGCCUUUUUGUAUGUACUUUAUGAAGAAGGAUCGGCUAACGCCGUGCCAGCAGCCGCGGUAAUACGGAGGAUCCGAGCGUUAUCCGGAUUUAGUGGGGUUAAAGGGAGCGUAGAGGGGUUGUUAAGUCAGUUGUGAAAGUUUGCGGCUCAACCGUAAAAUGGCACUUGAUACGGGCAGUCUUGAGUACAGUUGCGGUCGGCGGCAUUCGUGGUGUCGCGG